rnacentral:rRNA from 1 species
GACGAACGCUGGCGGCGUGCUUAACACAUGCAAGUCGAACGGUGAACUCCGCUUGCGGGGGGAUCAGUGGCGCACGGGUGAGUAACACGUGGGCAACCUGCCCUCAGCUCUGGGAUAACUCCAAGAAAUUGGGGCUAAUACCGGAUAUGACCGCUGACCGCAUGGUCUGGUGGUGGAAAGAUUUAUCGGCUGGGGAUGGGCCCGCGGCCUAUCAGCUUGUUGGUGGGGUAGUGGCCUACCAAGGCGACGACGGGUCGCCGGCCUGAGAGGGUUACCGGCCACAAUGGGACUGAGACACGGCCCAGACUCCUACGGGAGGCAGCAGUGGGGAAGAUUGCGCAAUGGGCGAAAGCCUGACGCAGCGACGCCGCGUGGGGGAUAACGGCCUUCGGGUUGUAAACCUCUUUCAGCAGGGACGAAGCGAAAGUGACGGUACCUGCAGAAGAAGCACCGGCCAACUACGUG